AAAAUAUUUUAAAAUAUUAACACUGGAUAUUAGUAUAACAAUAGUUAAUAAAUGAUAACAUAUUACAGUACAAAAAACUAUAUAAGUAUUACUGACAGGCUUCCUGUUCUUUCUUGUAAACAAUCUCCGAAGAGCUGAGAUGAAUCCACCCCUUGUUUUCUUCUGAUUGGCAACAGCAGUGGAUGAAACAAUGUGGCCAUCAGCGGUAGAGGUAGACAUUUUCUCAGCAGAGUGCUCCAGGCUGGUAGCAAUAGCAUCAACUUCAUGGACCGAAGCAUUGCAACUCUCGGUUGAAAACAUAGAAAUAGUGAUGACUAGUCUACUUCUCUUGGUUGAGACAUCAGCCACAUGGACCUCAGGUUGGUUGGAGUCUCUCAGUAGAGUGCUCCAGGCUGGUAGCAAUAGCAUCAACUUCAUGGACCGAAGCAUUGCAACUCUCGGUUGAAAACAUAGAAAUAGUGAUGACUAGUCUACUUCUCUUGGUUGAGACAUCAGCCACAUGGACCUCAGGUUGGUUGGAGUCUCUCAGUGUGGAAUCAUCACGAUCCUUCACUCUAGCAUCACUGCUGGACAGCUCCUGAGACACUAGGCCUGCAGCAGACUGGAUCAGGUCAUUCUCCAUGAUGGAAACACUGGUGGACAGAACCUGAGACACUAGGCCUGCAGCAGACUGGAUCAGGUCACUCUCCACGAUGGCAACACUGGUAGACAUAACCUGAGACACUAGACCUGCAGCAGACUGGAUCAGGUCAUUCUCCACGAUGGAAACACUGGUGGACAGAACCUGAGACACUAGGCCUGCAGCAGACUGGAUCAGGUCAUUCUCCACGAUAGCAACACUGGUGGACAGAACCUGAGACACUAGGACUGUAUCAGACUGGAUCAGGUUGUCUUCCUCGAUGGAAACACUGGUGGACAGAACCUGAGACACUAGGCCUGUAUCAGACUGGAUCAGGUUGUCUUCCUCGAUGGAAACACUGGUGGACAGAACCUGAGGAGUCUGCAGGAGUGUCAGUGGCUCCCACUCAUCCAGGAAGAAGCUCUCGACAGAGGGGAAGCUUCUUCCUUUCAGAGCUGCGGGAAUGUAGGGGGUGUACCCAACAGUCCAGAGCAGAGAGCUGUCGAUGGCAUUCGCGUAGUGGUACUUGUCACCAAGUUCCUCUGCAAAGCUCUGACGGAACUUCUGACUCUCUGACUCUGGACCGCCAAGGGCGUUGAGCUGGGUCACCAUUGACAUCCACCCUGAAAGAAACACCAACACAGGGUUAACAAAACUGAUUUCAGCAUUACAAGCAAGAGAUAUUAUUCAUUGC
rnacentral:lncRNA from 8 species